CCUGAUCAGUCAGCAGCCAUCAAUGAGGCAAGAUCCACCAGAAACAGAAACAGACUAGGACUCUCUGAAAGCUCAGCUGAUUGUUAACAUUUUCUGGCAAUAUUUUUAAUCAAGGUAAUUAUUCUUUCUGCUUCUUCAAUCUGCUAAAUACAAGAUGUCAAAAGUCCUGGAAAUGGCUAGAAUCUGUCCUGAACUCUUGGCAUCUUCUGAUACUCAACGAUGGAGCACGGCGUGAACAUCAUCCUGCUGCCCUACACAAUAUUGUCUAGACUAUGGGUAGCUAAAAAAUCUAUUUGCAAUUAAUAAUAAAGAAAUAAAAACAAAGUUCUGAUUAA
ensembl:lncRNA novel transcript, antisense to KLRD1